UUCAGUGACACGCAAGAUGAACGCUUCUCCAUGCAUAGUGACGGUGAUACUCCUUCUGGGAGAGACCUGUGGAGACUCAGUGACACAGAUAGAAGACCAAGUGACCAUGUCAGAAGGAUCUUUCCUGACUAUAAACUGUACUUAUACAGCCAUAGGGUACCCUUCUCUGUUCUGGUAUUUUCAAUAUCCUGGAGAAGGUUUACAGCUCCUCUUUAGAGUCUCAAAGGCCAAUGAUAAGGGCAGCAACAGAGGUUUCCAAGCCACAUACAAUAAAGAAGCCACCUCCUUCCACUUGGAGAAAGCCUCUGUUCAAGAGUCAGACUCGGCUGUGUACUACUGUGCUCUGGGUGACACAGUGGCAGAAACUGCAGGGGGAGCUGAGCACAAACUCUGA